rnacentral:rRNA from 1 species
AGACCGUCAGACGGUUACCGCGGCUGCUGGCACGGAGUUAGCCGGUGCUUCUUCUGUGAGUGAUGUCCUUCCUGCCGGCUAUUAACCCGCAGGCCUUCUUCCUCACUGAAAGUGCUUUACAACCCGAAGGCCUUCUUCACACACGCGGCAUGGCUGGAUCAGGGUUGCCCCCAUUGUCCAAUAUUCCCCACUGCUGCCUCCCGUAGGAGUCUGGGCCGUGUCUCAGUCCCAGUGUGGCUGAUCAUCCUCUCAGACCAGCUACGGAUCGUCGCCUUGGUGAGCCGUUACCUCACCAACCAGCUAAUCCGACAUAGGCUCAUCCGAUAGCGCGAGGCCCGAAGGUCCCCCGCUUUCCCCCGUAGGGCGUAUGCGGUAUUAGCCUGGGUUUCCCCAGGUUAUCCCCCAUACCGGGCAGAUUCCUAUGCAUUACUCACCCGUCCGCCGCUCGCCACCAGGGAGCAAGCUCCCCGUGCUGCCGCUCGACUUGCAUGUGUU